UGUCAUGUCCAUGAUUGUUUUUGCAGCUUUCAUUUUUUUUUCUUCACUGUCUUUCCACCCACCCUCAACUCAUUUUCCCCAUUUCUAUUCGCCUUCGCAUAAUUCAGCGCGACUUCAUAGCAGCUUUGACUGUUUAUCCUGCUUCAAGCAGCCGUAUUUUAACUGCAUGCAUUAUGAAAUAACCACCUUUUUCAGCAGAAAGUCUUGUAUAAGCGGAUUUAAUCUCCCGCACCCUCCGGGACCUAUCCCUCUGAACAUUCUACUCGGUGACUCGCUUCGACUAGGCUAAAGAAAUCUCCAACAAAUACCUUUUAUCGCAAACGUGAUUAUCAUUAAAGAUUCCGAUAUUGAUCUCAGGUGACCAUACAGGAACAGAUUUGGUAUUGCAUCUGAUCCCGGAUUUCACAAGCGCCUAUUGAUACACCGUUUUGCGAAUCGUCCAAAUUUGGCGCCAAUUUCGUGUCGUCUGCGUCAUGCAUCACAAUGACGACGUGUUCGGAGGGAACAAUCGCCUCCAAGGGGUCUCAACAAACUGAUCAAGGAGCGGUGAUGAUUUAUGUGCGGAUCGAUGUCAUCAGACCUCGGGCAAUCUCUGGCGUCGAGUUGGGGACAUCUACCCUUCACCGCAGACCGAUAUCUCUGCCCCGUUUUGGUGACGACUCAUCUGAUUGGGUUCUUUCGGAGAGGAGACGGAUGACCCCGACGUAACACCCUAUACCUCCCGACUACUCCUUCAACUUACUUCUGACAUUUCACCAAGGUGACAACGUACUCAGAGCGGGCCAAAGUAAGGAGGUACCGGCAAACGAGGGCGGGACGGGCACAUACCCUGGGACGGAUGACCGCGUAUAUGGAGACAAUGGAGUAAAGAUGAGCAGACGAAGAGACGUGUCAUGUCUCCUCCUCCUUUUGUUCUCCGUUCCAUAUUUCGCAAGGCCGUUCAACCCCCUCUGCGACAGGUGAUAGAACUAAUCGAAUCAUUCAAGAUGCUAGUGAUGUGAGAGAACGUUCAGUGAAGGAGGUUGAUGCGGGAUGCCAUCCGCUUGGCUGGCUGGAGGAUGGCGGUCGAUGGUGGUGGUUGCGAUGAAGAUGCAAGGAUCAGGGGAUUACGACGUCCCAUAGGACACGAUGGCUUUAUCCUCGGCUACGUUAAGAAGAUGUGAUCACUGGGAUGAAACAGGAGAUUUUAAGAACCAAAGCAGAUGCGAAAGAUGAACAAGAACGGUCUUUUCCAACUGAGAAAUCCUAUUGAAAUAAUUGAAUUGAAAAAAAAACUCGGUACACUACUGAAAGGUUAUCGUUAUUCCGAUCAAGAUAUGAUAAUAUAUAAUUUUUGAUUAAUGACGUAACAAAAGAAAAACUUUAAACACUCUACCUAUAUUAAGAGAUCGUGGUUUACCAUACCGUUAUAGAUUUUUUUGAUCUGAUUGUGACAGCAAAUGCGAUACGUUUUUAUCUAAAUUCUUCGAAAAAGAGCUAUUCUUAUCGAUAAUUAUGAAAGCCCGAAAAUUUAGUAUACAUUGCCUCGUAAAAGAGAUAAAUGUACUUGCAUCUUUCUGAUCAUACUGAUGUUGAGUUUAUUUGUCAUUUUUUGUCGAAGUCAAACCUUGAGCCAUAUUUUGGGGGCUUUUUUGUUCUGUGUGUACUUUGAAUCUAAGGUAAAGAUUAUGAAUUCAUAAAUCUUAUUACUUAAAAGAUAUGUACAGAAAUAGUCAUUCGAGUAGCACUCAAUAAUAAUAUAAAGAUGAUAAAUAUCCUUAUUGUCAUUGUCAUCAUCAUAAUCAUCCAUUUAGU